AGAACUAGAUGGCAUACAAGGACCAAUUAAUGUUGGGACAGGUUGUGAUUUCAGAAGGCAGGCACUUCACGGUUUUGAUGCUCCUGUUACCAAGAAACCUCCAGGCAAGACCUGCAACUGUUUGCCGAAAUGAUUCUGUUGCCUGUGCUGUUGUUCAAGAAAGAACAAGAAAACCAAGCAGCUGAAGCAGAAGCCUAAGAAGUCGAGGGAAGCUUUGAAGCAGAUACAUGUUCUUGAUAACAUUGAAGGGGGAAUUACAGAGUUGAAUACUCAGAAGUCAUCAGACACGUCAGAAAUGAAAAUGAAAAAGAAAUUCGGUCAGUCCCCUGUUUUCGCGGCUUCCAAUCUCUGGAGAAUGGCGGGGUUCCUCGAAAUGCAAGCCCAGCAUCAUUACUGAGUGAAGCUGUUCAAGUCAUAAGCUGUGGUUAUGAAGAUAAAACCGAAUGGGGGAAGGAAGUUGGCUGGAUAUAUGGGUCGGUGACUGAGGAUAUCCUGACUGGAUUCAAGAUGCACUGUCAUGGCUGGAGAUCUGUGCAUUGCAUACCCAAACGCCCCGCUUUCAAGGGUUCCGCUCCUAUUAACCUCUCAGAUCAUCUACACCAAGUUAUACGUUGGGUUGUCGAAUCUGUUGAAAUUUUCUUAAGCAGACAUUGUCCCAUUUGGUAUGGACAUGGGGGUGGGUUGAAAUGGUUGGAACGACUCUCCUACAUAAACUCAGUUGUAUAUCCGUUGACAUCGAUU